UGGGGGCAACCCUGACCCAUCAAUGUCUCGUGUGUGAAAAAGGCCUUCGGGUUGUAAAGCACUUUUAUCACGGGCGAAAUCUGGAUGCUUAAUACGUGUGCCGUCUGACGGUACCUGAGGAAUACGCACCGGCUAACUUCGUGCCAGAAGCCGCGGUAAUA
rnacentral:rRNA from 1 species